rnacentral:rRNA from 1 species
UUAAGUUAGAAAGGGCGCACGGUGGAUGCCUUGGCACUAGGAGCCGAUGAAGGACGGGACGAACACCGAUAUGCUUCGGGGAGCUGUAAGCAAGCUUUGAUCCGGAGAUUUCCGAAUGGGGAAACCCACCACUCGUAAUGGAGUGGUAUCCAUAUCUGAAUUCAUAGGAUAUGAGAAGGCAGACCCGGGGAACUGAAACAUCUAAGUACCCGGAGGAAGAGAAAGCAAAUGCGAUUCCCUGAGUAGCGGCGAGCGAAACGGGAUUAGCCCAAACCAAGAGGCUUGCCUCUUGGGGUUGUAGGACACUCUGUACGGAGUUACAAAGGAACGAGGUAGAUGAAGAGGUCUGGAAAGGCCCGCCAUAGGAGGUAACAGCCCUGUAGUCAAAACUUCGUUCUCUCCUGAGUGGAUCCUGAGUACGGCGGAACACGUGAAAUUCCGUCGGAAUCCGGGAGGACCAUCUCCCAAGGCUAAAUACUCCCUAGUGACCGAUAGUGAACCAGUACCGUGAGGGAAAGGUGAAAAGCACCCCGGAAGGGGAGUGAAAGAGAUCCUGAAACCGUGUGCCUACAAGUAGUCAGAGCCCGUUAACGGGUGAUGGCGUGCCUUUUGUAGAAUGAACCGGCGAGUUACGAUCUCGUGCAAGGUUAAGCAGAAGAUGCGGAGCCGCAGCGAAAGCGAGUCUGAAUAGGGCGCAUGAGUACGUGGUCGUAGACCCGAAACCAGGUGAUCUACCCAUGUCCAGGGUGAAGUUCAGGUAACACUGAAUGGAGGCCCGAACCCACGCACGUUGAAAAGUGCGGGGAUGAGGUGUGGGUAGGGGUGAAAUGCCAAUCGAACCUGGAGAUAGCUGGUUCUCUCCGAAAUAGCUUUAGGGCUAGCCUCAAGGUAAGAGUCUUGGAGGUAGAGCACUGAUUGGACUAGGGGCCCCUACCGGGUUACCGAAUUCAGUCAAACUCCGAAUGCCAAUGACUUAUCCUUGGGAGUCAGACUGCGAGUGAUAAGAUCCGUAGUCGAAAGGGAAACAGCCCAGACCGCCAGCUAAGGUCCCAAAGUAUACGUUAAGUGGAAAAGGAUGUGGAGUUGCUUAGACAACCAGGAUGUUGGCUUAGAAGCAGCCACCAUUUAAAGAGUGCGUAAUAGCUCACUGGUCGAGUGACUCUGGACCGAAAAUGUACCGGGGCUAAACGUAUCACCGAAGCUGCGGACUGUUCUUCGAACAGUGGUAGGAGAGCGUUCUAAGGGCUGUGAAGCCAGACCGGAAGGACUGGUGGAGCGCUUAGAAGUGAGAAUGCCGGUAUGAGUAGCGAAAGAGGGGUGAGAAUCCCCUCCACCGAAUGCCUAAGGUUUCCUGAGGAAGGCUCGUCCGCUCAGGGUUAGUCGGGACCUAAGCCGAGGCCGAAAGGCGUAGGCGAUGGACAACAGGUUGAUAUUCCUGUACCACCUCCUCACCAUUUGAGCAAUGGGGGGACGCAGGAGGAUAGGGUAAGCGCGGUAUUGGAUAUCCGCGUCCAAGCAGUUAGGCUGGGAAAUAGGCAAAUCCGUUUCCCAUAAGGCUGAGCUGUGAUGGCGAGCGAAAUAUAGUAGCGAAGUUCCUGAUUCCACACUGCCAAGAAAAGCUCUAGCGAGGUGAGAGGUGCCCGUACCGCAAACCGACACAGGUAGGCGAGGAGAGAAUCCUAAGGUGAUCGAGAGAACUCUCGUUAAGGAACUCGGCAAAAUGACCCCGUAACUUCGGGAGAAGGGGUGCCCUG